ACGGAAGGCAGCAGUGGGGAAUAUUGCACAAUGGGCGAAAGCCUGAUGCAGCGACGCCGCGUGAGUGAAGAAGUAUUUCGGUAUGUAAAGCUCUAUCAGCAGGGAAGAAAAUGACGGUACCUGACUAAGAAGCCCCGGCUAACUACGUGCCAGCAGCCGCGGUAAUACGUAGGGGGCAAGCGUUAUCCGGAUUUACUGGGUGUAAAGGGAGCGCAGGCGGUUUUACAAGUCUGGUGUGAAAACCCGGGGCUCAACCCCGAGGAUUGCCUUUGGAACUGUGGAACUGGAGUGCUGGAGGGGCAGGCGGAAUUCCUGGUGUAGCGGUGAAAUGCGUAGAUAUCAGGAGGAACACCGGUGGCGAAGGCGGCCUGCUGGACAGUAACUGACGCUGAGGCUCGAAAGCGUGGGGAGCAAACAGGAAUAGAUACCCUGGUA
rnacentral:rRNA from 1 species